UACAGAGGUGGCAAGCGUUGUUCGGAAUUACUGGGCGUAAAGGGCGCGUAGGCGGCCCUCUAAGUCAGACGUGAAAUCUCUCGGCUUAACUGGGAGGGUGCGCCGGAAACUGGAGUGCUCGAACGUGGGAGAGGAAAGCGGAAUUCCUGGUGUAGCGGUGAAAUGCGUAGAUAUCAGGAGGAACACCAGUGGCGAAGGCGGCUCACUGGCCCGAUACUGACGCUGAGGUGCGAAAGCGUGGGGAGCAAACAGG
rnacentral:rRNA from 1 species